rnacentral:lncRNA from 1 species
CAGGAACUAGAUAUAUAAAAGUUAUAUGUAGUAAACGUUUCAGAAAAUUAAAAACUUACCUGGAUUUUGAUGUCCAGUUUUUUUCAGUCUGCAGAAGAUAGCAAAAUAAACUAACACCGAGUUUUAUUUGAUACGGUCCACUCAGUUACACAGUUUAAAUCACCUAUUGUCUGCAGAUGUCUUUUGUCCAUCUAUUGUCCAUUUAAAUCAAUACUACUCACAACAUGUAUUAUAUGAGGGGAAAUUCUCAAACCUCUUUCCCGACUUUAUUUUGGCACCUUCUGCAGGAACGAAAAAAACUGGAUAGCAAAAUCUAGUAAAGUUUAUAAUUUUCUAAAACAUAAAAUGCAUUUAAAAUUUAUAUAUCUAGUUCCUGCCAUCCCUAAAAACUUUUGCAGGUGCAUAGGUUUGUCUGUACUCAGAGUAAACUUUGUGGUGUAAAUACGGCCAUAUUAGCCAAAAGGUUAUGAUGAACCUUAAUACCAUAAUUUAGUGUUGAAUGAAAAUGAUCACAGAGAAGUUUUUCUUGUUAUCUCCUCUAACCUGUGGUUUUAAAUUCGUAAAUAAACCAUGAAUUCCACCAGGAUCUCAAUUUUCAGAAGAAAAAUAAAUUAUUUUAUAAUAUCG